UGGGGGAUAUUGCACAAUGGGCGAAAGCCUGAUGCAGCGACGCCGCGUGGGGGAUGAAGGCCUUCGGGUUGUAAACUUCUUUUGCUCUGAACAAGGCGCACCAUGGGGUGUGUUGAGUGUAGGGGUUGAUUAGCGCCGGCUAACUACGUGCCAGCAGCCGCGGUAAUACGUAGGGCGCGAGCGUUGUCCGGAAUUAUUGGGCGUAAAGGGCUUGUAGGUGGCUGGUUGCGUCUGUCGUGAAAGCUCAUGGCUUAACUGUGGGUUUGCGGUGGGUACGGGCUGGCUUGAGUGCAGUAGGGGAGGCUGGAAUUCCUGGUGUAGCGGUGGAAUGCGCAGAUAUCAGGAGGAAUACCGGUGGCGAAGGCGGGUCUCUGGGCUGUUACUGACUCUGAGGAGCGAAAGCAUGGGGAGCGAACAGG
rnacentral:rRNA from 1 species